GUGUGGUUCGUUCUGGGUUUGGGAUCUGUGGAUCUUUCAUUUUGGAGGUUCCACCGAGAUUCCCGAUCCCGGUUCCGAUCCCGAUCCCUAUCCGGAGAACACUCGACAUCACUGGGAGGUAUACAAGCCUGUAAGGUAAAAGCUUCGAAAGAACCUUAUAUCAAGCUGGUAUUCUAAAGUUAUAUGGUAAUUAAAAAAAAAAA